UACGUAGGGUCCGAGCGUUAAUCGGAAUUACUGGGCGUAAAGCGUGCGCAGGCGGCUUUGCAAGACAGAUGUGAAAUCCCCGGGCUUAACCUGGGAACUGCAUUUGUGACUGCAUGGCUGGAGUGCGGCAGAGGGGGGUGGAAUUCCGCGUGUAGCAGUGAAAUGCGUAGAGAUGCGGAGGAACACCGAUGGCGAAGGCAGCCCCCUGGGCUGACACUGACGCUCAGGCACGAAAGCGUGGGGAGCAAACAGG
rnacentral:rRNA from 1 species